GGCAAAUUAACUCUGGGGAGGACGGGGCACGAGGGGCCCCGGAACGCCUUGUUCCACUUCGGGAGCCGGUGUGAUCUCAUUUGCCCUGUGCGAUUCCGUAGAUAUCCUGCUAGAAGAUUCAUCUGGGAGGCUGCAGGUACAUCUCCAGCAGACUAAGCCAAGAGAGCUCUCUUAAAGAAAAAUGAUGGCAUUCCCUAGGAUCUCUACCUGCCUCACAGGGUCCUUACAGCCCAUGGUACGUGCUGUUCAAGUGUCAAUUACCAGACACACCCUGGAACUUCAGCACUAUCCAAGGAGCUCCGUGCCCAGCCACGGGAAACCACCUCAUGUCGGCGGAAACAACACGCUUGUGCUGGGCGCAGUACCCAGAGUGCCCAAGGAAAGACACCCCAGGAGCCUAUUGAAAAGAAAGGGGAAGGGAGCCUUCCAGAAAGAAGGAGGAGAAAGAGAAGAUGGAGGAGGAGGAGGAAGGGGGCAGGGUGCGACAUUCAGGAGCCAGUGGUCCCAGGCUACAUGCAGCCCCCGGAGCAGCUGCCACCUACUCCUGGAAGCUUUCCCAGAGCCCCUGCUGGAAUUAACUCCUCUCUCCUGUGGGCCCAAAACAAGGGGUGACUUGCUCCGGUCUACUCAUGUUUGUCUGUCAUCUCCUCCUCCAGCCCACAAUCUGGUGGAGGACACAGGCCAUGUUGUUUUCACUUUGAUAUGCUCUGCUUAUGCCAUGGC